UUAAGCGACUAAGCGUACACGGUGGAUGCCCUGGCAGUCAGAGGCGAUGAAGGACGUGCUAAUCUGCGAAAAGCGCCGGCGAGGUGAUAUGAACCCUUGACCCGGCGAUGUCCGAAUGGGGAAACCCAGUGCAAUCCGUUGCACUAUCGUUAACUGAAUACAUAGGUUAACGAGGCGAACCGGGGGAACUGAAACAUCUAAGUACCCCGAGGAAAAGAAAUCAACCGAGAUUCCCCCAGUAGCGGCGAGCGAACGGGGAGCAGCCCGGAGUCUGAAUCAGCUUGUGUGUUAGUGGAACGGUCUGGAAAGUCCGACGGUACAGGGUGAUAGUCCCGUACACGAAAGCACACUUGCUGUGAACUCGAAGAGUAGGGCGGGACACGUGGUAUCCUGUCUGAAUAUGGGGGGACCAUCCUCCAAGGCUAAAUACUCCUGACUGACCGAUAGUGAACCAGUACCGUGAGGGAAAGGCGAAAAGAACCCCGGCGAGGGGAGUGAAAAAGAACCUGAAACCGUGUACGUACAAGCAGUGGGAGCCUCUUUAUGGGGUGACUGCGUACCUUUUGUAUAAUGGGUCAGCGACUUAUAUUCUGUAGCAAGGUUAACCGUAUAGGGGAGCCGAAGGGAAACCGAGUCUUAACUGGGCGUUAAGUUGCAGGGUAUAGACCCGAAACCCGGUGAUCUAGCCAUGGGCAGGUUGAAGGUUGGGUAACACUAACUGGAGGACCGAACCGACUAAUGUUGAAAAAUUAGCGGAUGACCUGUGGCUGGGGGUGAAAGGCCAAUCAAACCGGGAGAUAGCUGGUUCUCCCCGAAAGCUAUUUAGGUAGCGCCUCGUGAACUCAUCUUCGGGGGUAGAGCACUGUUUCGGCUAGGGGGCCAUCCCGGCUUACCAACCCGAUGCAAACUACGAAUACCGAAGAAUGUUAUCACGGGAGACACACGGCGGGUGCUAACGUCCGUCGUGAAGAGGGAAACAACCCAGACCGCCAGCUAAGGUCCCAAAGUCAUGGUUAAGUGGGAAACGAUGUGGGAAGGCACAGACAGCCAGGAUGUUGGCUUAGAAGCAGCCAUCAUUUAAAGAAAGCGUAAUAGCUCACUGGUCGAGUCGGCCUGCGCGGAAGAUGUAACGGGGCUAAACCAUGCACCGAAGCUGCGGCAGCGACACUAUGUGUUGUUGGGUAGGGGAGCGUUCUGUAAGCCGUUGAAGGUGUGCUGUGAGGCAUGCUGGAGGUAUCAGAAGUGCGAAUGCUGACAUAAGUAACGAUAAAGCGGGUGAAAAGCCCGCUCGCCGGAAGACCAAGGGUUCCUGUCCAACGUUAAUCGGGGCAGGGUGAGUCGACCCCUAAGGCGAGGCCGAAAGGCGUAGUCGAUGGGAAACAGGUUAAUAUUCCUGUACUUGGUGUUACUGCGAAGGGGGGACGGAGAAGGCUAUGUCAGCCGGGCGACGGUUGUCCCGGUUUAAGCAUGUAGGCGGAGGUUCCAGGUAAAUCCGGUACCUUAUUAACGCUGAGGUGUGAUGACGAGGCACUACGGUGCUGAAGUGAUAAAUGCCCUGCUUCCAGGAAAAGCCUCUAAGCAUCAGGUAACACGAAAUCGUACCCCAAACCGACACAGGUGGUCAGGUAGAGAAUACCAAGGCGCUUGAGAGAACUCGGGUGAAGGAACUAGGCAAAAUGGUGCCGUAACUUCGGGAGAAGGCACGCUGAUGUGUAGGUGAAGCCCCUGCGGGCGGAGCUGAAAUCAGUCGAAGAUACCAGCUGGCUGCAACUGUUUAUUAAAAACACAGCACUGUGCAAACACGAAAGUGGACGUAUACGGUGUGACGCCUGCCCGGUGCCGGAAGGUUAAUUGAUGGGGUUAGCGGCAACGCGAAGCUCUUGAUCGAAGCCCCGGUAAACGGCGGCCGUAACUAUAACGGUCCUAAGGUAGCGAAAUUCCUUGUCGGGUAAGUUCCGACCUGCACGAAUGGCGUAAUGAUGGCCAGGCUGUCUCCACCCGAGACUCAGUGAAAUUGAACUCGCUGUGAAGAUGCAGUGUACCCGCGGCAAGACGGAAAGACCCCGUGAACCUUUACUAUAGCUUGACACUGAACACUGGUCCUUGAUGUGUAGGAUAGGUGGGAGGCUUUGAAGCGUGGACGCCAGUCUGCGUGGAGCCAACCUUGAAAUACCACCCUUUAAUGGCUGGUGUUCUAACGUAGACCCGUAAUCCGGGUUGCGGACAGUGUCUGGUGGGUAGUUUGACUGGGGCGGUCUCCUCCCAAAGAGUAACGGAGGAGCACGAAGGUUGGCUAAUCCUGGUCGGACAUCAGGAGGUUAGUGCAAUGGCAUAAGCCAGCUUGACUGCGAGCGUGACGGCGCGAGCAGGUGCGAAAGCAGGUCAUAGUGAUCCGGUGGUUCUGAAUGGAAGGGCCAUCGCUCAACGGAUAAAAGGUACUCCGGGGAUAACAGGCUGAUACCGCCCAAGAGUUCAUAUCGACGGCGGUGUUUGGCACCUCGAUGUCGGCUCAUCACAUCCUGGGGCUGAAGUAGGUCCCAAGGGUAUGGCUGUUCGCCAUUUAAAGUGGUACGCGAGCUGGGUUUAGAACGUCGUGAGACAGUUCGGUCCCUAUCUGCCGUGGGCGCUGGAGAAUUGAGGGGGGCUGCUCCUAGUACGAGAGGACCGGAGUGGACGCAUCACUGGUGUUCGGGUUGUCAUGCCAAUGGCACUGCCCGGUAGCUAAAUGCGGAAGAGAUAAGUGCUGAAAGCAUCUAAGCACGAAACUUGCCCCGAGAUGAGUUCUCCCUGAGACUUUAAGUCUCCUGAAGGAACGUUGAAGACGACGACGUUGAUAGGUCGGGUGUGUAAGCGCAGCGAUGCGUUGAGCUAACCGAUACUAAUGAACCGUGAGGCUUAACCU
rnacentral:rRNA from 1 species